CAGAAUCUUUGUGCUAAAUGGGUUGAAGUAGAUUUGGUUUGUACUUCUAAGAGAGGAUUCAAUGUGACAUGUUACGGGAAGCUCUGGCAGAAAUAUGUGGUCCUUAUGAAGAGCUGCACAACAUGUGGGUGGAGAAAGAAGUAGUGGUAGAAGAAGAAAGAAAAGCUGAAGGAAGAAUCAUGCAGGGCAACCCAGAUCCACACCUUUUUCAGUACCAGGAAAAUGAAACAAAGUAAGAUUUUAGAAUACAAAGACAAGCAAGCAAAAUUAAUGAAGAAAACUACUUCUCAAAAGAGAAUGGGUUAAAAAGUAAGUUAUUUGGAGUUUUUAAUUUCUUGUGAUAAAAUCUCAUAGAUAAAUGAUUCAGAAAAGUGAGUAGAUGAAGAAAUAGCAUAUGAGUUGCAACAAACAGUUGAAACAUGAAAAUAUUAAAAUCAUAUCUCAGGACUGAUGAAAAUGGGAGAGGACUGCCAGUGAAGCAGGAAAUUUUUUAUUUGACACAAUGUUUAAAUGGGUCAAAAAAAGCAAAAAAAAAUUGAAUACCCUGGAAAAGGUCUUCAAAAGAUAAUGUGAUGGUAGGGGCAGUGGAUGUUGUAACAUAAAUGUAAAACAUACUGAAAAAUGUAACAAGUAUGGGCUUAGUGAGCUUUUGAACUAGCAGCGAGUGCUCUGUGCAAUCAUUUUAAUAGUGAUUGAAAAUAUUCUUUAUAGAGUGAAAUUUUUAAAAACAAGCAAUUUAUGAAGAACUACUUUUCAGAAGAGAGAAAAAAUUGUAACAGAAAUACUCAAAUAAAUAAAUAAAUGGCACAGCUUCACACUAAAUACCUGUGCCUGGAAACCAUCCCCCCUAAAAGCUAAAAAAGCAGGAA